CCUAACCCAUCAACCAUCGAUGAUGUCCAUAGUCUUCCCCAUCUGCGGUAGUAGUGGAUCUCACCCCAAUGCAUGGCCACCCAACCUCCAUCAACAACAGCUACCAUCACAAGAGGCUGUUUGUCCCUCAUUGUCAACAAUAGCUACCAUCAAAUCGAAGGUUCGUCAACAUAAAUUUUUCCUGAAAUGUGUAUAUAUGUUGUUGUAAUUUUGAGAAGCAUGAUGGAAGUGUCUUGCAUUGAUGGGAUGUAGUACACAAUGAAAGUACCAGAUGUUUUAAAUCUACUAACAUUGAUGCCUCAAUUGGUUGCAGAUGUGCAUUCUGUAUGAUGGCUAAGCAAGUAGAAGAUAGAACCCGAGAAUCUUUUAAGUUACUCAAAUAUAUUCAAUGUAGGCACAAAUGGAGUGUGCUUGGGGACAUGAUUUUCUCAUGAUGGGCUCUGAAUCUUUAUAUUUUUGUGGGAAAUAUUGCAAGAAGGUAUUUCUUUGUUUGCUUAAUGCUUGCUUUUCGAGGUGUAGGUGAUCAUGGGGGUACCUUUAACUCAUCAUCUUUAGGUCUAGAUGCUUCCCCUCACCAGCAUCAUUCCAACACUCUCUUUGACACCAACAUGGGUUUUGCUGAAUGCACU